rnacentral:rRNA from 1 species
AUGCGCGGCUGCGAGAGAUGCAUGUUGUACAAGAAGCACCUCGCGGAGGUGCACGGUUACACAAAGACCGCGACCUCGGCAACCACCUCGGCGAAACUCCGCCGCCACCAGAUCCGCAAGAAAAGAGCCCACCGGCGCCGCCAAAAUGCUCUGGCUGCGCCUGUCGCCCUCAAUGACGCCGUCAACCAUCAGACUCAAGAGAAUGAGAAUGAGCAGCAAGAGUACAUCAUUCACGCCUGUUUGGAUGGCUGCCAAAGACUACCCUUCCAAAAUUCUCACCAUUCACCACGGCGUGGCCAGAUUAAGCAGUGCUAA